GAUGAAGAACGUAGCGAAAUGCGAUACUUGGUGUGAAUUGCAGAAUCCCGUGAACCAUCGAGUCUUUGAACGCAAGUUGCGCCCGAAGCCAUUAGGCCGAGGGCACGCCUGCCUGGGCGUCACACGUCGUUGCCCCCCCAUCUACUCCUUCGGGAUUGCGGGGGGCGGAUGAUGGCCUCCCGUGCGCCUCGUCGCGCGGUUGGCAUAAAUGCCAAGUCCUCGGCGACACACGCCACGACAAUCGGUGGUUGCGAAACCUCGGUUGCCCGUCGUGUGCGGUCGUCGCGCAUCGAGGGCUCGAAAAAAUUGCCGGGCUCCGGCUCGGCUUUCAACGCGACCCCAGGUCAGGCGGGGUUACCCGCUGAAUUUAAGCAUAUCAAUAAGGA
rnacentral:misc_RNA from 1 species